ensembl:snRNA U6 U6 spliceosomal RNA
GUGCUCGCUUCAGCAGCACAUAUGCUAAGUUUGGAAUGAUACAUAGAAUGGCCCCUGCGCAGAGAUGACAUGCAAAUUCGUGAAGCUUUCCAUAUUUUU